GACCAGGAGGACUCCAUCACUUGGCGGUGGACCCCCAAUGGCAUAUACUAUGCUGCUUCGGCCUACGCGGCCCAGUUCUCUGCAUCCUACCCCAGGUUCCCAGCCAAGAUUUGGGAGGCACACGCUGAGCCAAAAUGCAAGUUCUUCGCCUGGCUUGUGCUCCAUGGAAAAAUCAUCACGGCCGACAUGCUUUCCGUUCGUGGAUGGCCGCACGACCCUCGCUGCCCCCUUUGCUUGGGGGCACCGGAGACAGCGACUCAUCUCUGCAAGGACUGCCCGUUUGCCGCCGCAGUUUGGUCUCACGUCCAGGUGUGGACAAGAGAGGACUUUGGGGCAACGCCCAUGUUGCCCCCUUCGAUGGGGAUUUCGGACUGGUGGGAUUCGUUCACUACCAAUUUGCCCAAGGAUGACAGAAGAAGGCGGAGCGGGCGUUUCCUUUAG
rnacentral:rRNA from 1 species